rnacentral:rRNA from 1 species
GACAGAGGUGCCAAGCGUUAGGCGGAAUCACUGGGCUUAAAGCGUGUGUAGGUGGAAGCGUAAGUACCUUGUGAAAUCCCACGGCUCAACCGUGGAACUGCUUGGUAUACUGCGUUUCUUGAGCCAACUAGGGGCUAUCGGAACAAGUGGUGGAGCGGUGAAAUGCGUAGAGAUCCGGAAGAACACCGGUGGCGAAGGCGGUCUGCUGGGCAGUUGCUGACACUGAGGCGCGACAGCGUGGGGAGCAAACAGG